rnacentral:rRNA from 1 species
AUUGAACGCUGGCGGCAUGCUUUACACAUGCAAGUCGAACGGCAGCACGGACUUCGGUCUGGUGGCGAGUGGCGAACGGGUGAGUAAUACAUCGGAACGUACCCAGUAAUGGGGGAUAACUAUCCGAAAGGAUAGCUAAUACCGCAUACGCCCUACGGGGGAAAGAGGGGGAUCGCAAGACCUCUUGUUAUUGGAGCGGCCGAUGGCUGAUUAGCUAGUUGGUGAGGUAAAGGCUCACCAAGGCGACGAUCAGUAGCGGGUCUUAGAGGACGAUCCGCCACACUGGAACUGAGACACGGUCCAGACUCCUACGGGAGGCAGCAGUGGGGAAUCUUGGACAAUGGGCGCAAGCCUGAUCCAGCAAUGCCGCGUGCGUGAAGAAGGCCUUCGGGUUGUAAAGCGCUUUUGUCAGGGAGCAAAUCCUUGUGGCUAAUACCCACCGGGGAUGAGAGUACCUGAAGAAUAAGGACCGGCUAACUACGUGCCAGCCGCCGCGGUAA